rnacentral:snRNA from 1 species
GUGCUUUGGCAGCACAUAUACUAAAAUUUGAUGGAUACAGAGAAGAUGAGCAUGGCUCCUGUGUAAGGAUGACAUGAAAAUUUGCGAAGCAUUCUAUAUUUUC